AUGACCCAGCUCCAUCUGGAACGUAACAGGCUGGUGCUGACCUGCAUGGCGGAGGGAAGCUGGCCACUAGAGUUUAAAUGGAUCCACAAUAGCACAGAAUUAACACGCUUUUCACUGGAGUACAGGUACCUAAUCCCUUCACUGGACCGCUCCCAUGCUGGCUUUUACCGCUGCAUUGUGAGAAAUCGGGUGGGAGCCCUUCUGCAGAGGCGCACAGAAGUACAAGUGGCCUUUAUGGGCAGUUUUGAGGAAGGCGAACGCACCCAGUCAGUCUCUCAGGGAGAGGGUGCUGUGAUUCCAGCGCCACGCAUCCGCAGCUUCCCUCAGCCACAAGUCACCUGGUUCAGAGAUGGGCGCAAGAUUCCACCCAGCAGCCGCAUUGCCAUUACUUUGGACAACACGCUGGUUAUCUUGUCUACUGUGGCACCGGAUGCCGGACGCUACUAUGUGCAAGCUGUAAAUGACAAGAAUGGAGAGAACAAGACCAGCCAGCCCAUCACCUUGUCAGUAGAGAAUGUUGGCGGUCCAGCAGAUCCCAUUGCCCCCACCAUUAUCAUCCCUCCCAGGAACACCAGUGUGGUCACAGGCACAUCAGAGGUCACGAUGGAGUGUGUGGCCAAUGCCAGACCUCUUAUCAAGCUGAGUAUCUCAUGGCGUAAGAACGGCGUGUUGGUGAACAGCGGUUUGAGUGACUUCAACCGCAGACUGACCAUCCUGAGUCCUGUGGUGAGCGACGCCGGCUACUACGAGUGUGAGGCCAUUCUCCGCAGCAGCAGCGUGCCUUCAGUCAGUGCUGGGGCUUAUCUGCAUGUCCUUGAGCCACCACAGUUUAUAAAGGAACCGGAGAAACACAUCACAGCUGAGAUGGAGAAGGUGGUUGACAUUCCCUGUCAGGCACGGGGAGUGCCCCAGCCAGACAUUGUGUGGUACAAGGAUGCUUUGCCUAUCGACCCAGUGAGGACACCCAGGUACAGGGUGUUGGUGGGCGGCAGCCUCCAGGUCAACGGCCUACUGCCUGAUGACACCGGCAUGUUCCAGUGCUUUGCCCGAAAUUCAGCCGGAGAAGUUCAGACCAACACUUACCUGGCUGUUACAAGCAUUGCCCCGAAUAUCACAGCCGGACCCUCUGAUAGCACUGUGAUCGACGGGAUGUCAGUCAUUCUGCACUGUGAGACCUCUGGAGCUCCAAGGCCAGCUAUCACCUGGCAAAAAGGUGAGCGCGUGUUAGCCAGCGGUUCAGUCCAGCUGCCCCGGUUCACCCUGCUUGAAUCGGGCAGCUUGCUCAUCUCGCCUUCACACAUCUCUGAUGCCGGGACCUACACUUGCAUGGCAAGCAACUCCAGGGGCAUUGACGAGGCAUCUGCUGACCUUGUUGUUUGGGCUCGCACUCGGAUUACCACCCCCCCACAGGACCAGAGCGUUAUCAAAGGAACUAAAGCCAUUAUGAACUGUGGAGUCACACACGACCCAAGUGUGACAUCUUUGUAUUCCAGGCAUGUCUGGGAAAAAGAGGGCUCAGUCAUAAACGUUCAGUCCAUCCCCCGCAUGCGGCUAGAUGCAGAUGGUACGCUUCACAUCUCCCAAACCUGGUCAGGUGACAUAGGCACCUACACAUGCCGAGUGACCUCUGUUGGAGGCAACGACUCCCGCAGCGCGCACCUCCGUGUCAGACAGUUGCCCCAUGCCCCAGAGAACCCUACGGCCGUGCUGAGCAAAUCUGAAAAAAGAGCCAUCGACCUGGCUUGGGCCAAGCCUUUUGAUGGCAACAGUCCCCUCAUACGCUAUAUCCUGGAGGUUUCUGAGAACAAUGCUCCCUGGGCCAUCCUGCUGGCCAAUAUUGAACCUGAGUCCACAGCAGUGACGGUCAACGGCUUGAUCCCAGCUCGCUCCUAUCAGUUCCGCCUCUGUGCUGUUAAUGAUGUGGGGAAGGGACAGUUUAGCAAGGAGACAGACCGGGUCUCUCUCCCAGAGGAGCCCCCCAGUGCUCCUCCUCAAAAUGUCAUUGCUAGUGGUCGAACCAACCAAUCUAUCAUGAUCCAGUGGCAGCCUCCGCCGGAAAGCCACCAGAACGGCAUCCUCAGAGGCUACAUCGUUCGGUACCGUCUCACUGGGCUGCCUGUGGACAACCAAAUCAAGAACAUUUCCAGCCCGGAUGUGACCACGCUGCUGCUGGAAGACCUCAUCAUCUGGACCAAUUAUGAGAUUGAGGUGGCUGCCUAUAAUGGGGCAGGUUUGGGCACUUUCAGCCAUAAGGUUACUGAGUGGACCCUGCAAGGAGUGCCCACCAUAGCUCCAGGCAACGUGCAGGCCGAGGCGGUCAACUCAACAACUAUCCGUUUUACGUGGACAGCCCCUAACCCCCAGUUCAUCAACGGCAUUAACCAGGGCUACAAGUUGCUGGCCUGGGAACCUGGCAAGGAUGACGAAGUUGCCAUGGUAACAGUACGACCGAACUUCCAGGACAGCGUCCAUGUGGGAUAUGUGACAGGUCUGAAGAAGUUCACUGAGUAUUACACCUCUGUGCUGUGCUUCACGACACCCGGAGACGGCCCCCGCAGCCCGCCUAAAGCAUUGAGGACGCAUGAGGACACCCCCGGUGCAGUGGGUCAUCUGAGUUUCACCGAGAUUUUGGACACCUCACUCAAAGUCAGCUGGAGUGAGCCCAGCGAGAAGAAUGGAGUUCUCACAGGUUACCGCAUUUCUUGGGAGGAGUACAACCGAACAAACACCAGAGUCACCCACUACCUGCCCAAUGUCACCUUAGAGUACAGGGUCACUGGGCUCACUGCUCUCACCACCUACACUAUUGAAGUGGCAGGAAUGACCUCCAAGGGCCAGGGCAUGCUGUCCUCCUCCACCAUUUCCUCCGGUGUCCCACCAGAGCUUCCUGGCCCUCCUACCAACAUGGCAAUUUCCAAUAUUGGCCCACGCUCCAUCAAUCUGCAGUUCAAACCUGGCUAUGAUGGCAAAACUUCUAUUUCCCGCUGGCUAGUGGAGGCCCAGGUGGGUGCGGUAGGAGAAAAUGAGGAUUGGUUGAUGGUCCACCAGGUGUUCAACGAACCUGAGGCUCGCUCCUUAGAGGUGCCAGGUCUCAACCCAUAUACCUUUUACAGGUUUCGCAUGCGUCAGGUGAACAUAGUGGGUACCAGUCCUCCCAGCCAGCCCUCCAGAAAAAUUCAGACCCUACCAGCUCCUCCCGACAUGGCCCCUGCCAACGUCACCCUGCGCACCGCUAGCGAAACAAGCCUCUGGUUACGAUGGAUGCCUUUGCCUGAAUGGGAAUAUAAUGGGAAUGCAGAGCAGGUGGGCUACAGGGUUCAGUACUCCCGUGCAGGCUCACAGGGCCAUCCACUCACCCAUGUUAUUACCGACCGUCUGGAGAGAGAGUUUACUAUUGAGGACCUGGAGGAGUGGACAGAAUAUGAGGUCAGGGUCCAGGCUGUCAACGGCAUUGGAGUGGGACCCUGGAGCCAACCGGUCAGAGGCAGGACACGGGAGUCUGGUGAGUUCCACGCUGUGGAAAAACACUGUUUUGUUUGGAAAAGUAAUGCACAAACUUCAAUAGAUUAUCAGGUGGUGUAUAAAGAAAAAGACUCGGACAGUCCAGUCCACUUCUGGACAGUAGAGGGAAAUGCCACUCACAGUGUCCAGCUGACUGGUCUGGGGAAAUAUGUGCUCUAUGAGAUCCAAGUUCUGGCAUUCACACGGAUUGGAGAUGGACGGCCGAGCUCUCCACCUAUUCUUGAAAGGACCUUGGAUGAUGUCCCAGGACCUCCAGUGGGUAUCCUGUUCCCUGAAGUCCGAACCACCUCAGUCCGCCUUAUUUGGCAGUCCCCUGCCCAGCCGAAUGGCAUUAUACUUGCCUACCAGAUCACGUACCACCUCAACUCCACCAAUAGCAACACAGCCACAGUGGAUGUGCUGAACCCCAGCGCCCGCCAGUACACGGUGACUAACCUCAAGCCAGAAACUGUCUAUGUGUUUCGCAUCACGGCACAGACAAGGAAAGGCUGGGGUGAGGCGGCCGAGGCACUCGUGGUUACCACGGAGAAAAGAGCUCGUCCUCAGCCUACCAGCCGCCCCCUGGUUCCUCAAAAACACGUUCAGGCUCGCCAGGUGUUACUUUCAUGGGAGCCUGGUAGUGACGGCCUGUCCCCCGUGCGUUACUAUACGGUCCAGCUAAGAGAGCUUCCUGAAAGCAACUGGACAGUCCACUCAGCAUCUGUCAGCCACGAGGCCACAACCUACAUAGUAUCCAGGCUGAAACCCUUCACAUCUUACCAGUUCAGAAUAAAAGCCACCAAUGACAUAGGGGACAGCGAGUACAGUCAGGAAAGUGAAGCAAUCACAACUCUACAGGAUGUGCCUGACGAAGCACCCUCGAUUCUCUCUGUCACGCCACACACAACAACGUCAGUGCUGAUCCGCUGGCAGGUAAGAACAAACAAAAUAACUUUAUAUAUAUAUUUUACUGUUUUCAAACUCCAUGAUCUAUUCGAGUGUGGGGAACUAAGUAAACACAAGCGUUAUGAGAUACGCAUGAGUGUGUACAACGCCGUGGGUGAGGGGCCAACCAGCCCUCCACAGGAGGUGUUUGUUGGAGAAGCAGUGCCGACGGCCCCACCCCAGAAUGUGGCUAUUCAGUCCGCAACAGCCACCCAGCUGGAUGUGACGUGGGACCCUCCACCUGUGGAUGCGCAGAAUGGAGACAUCCAGGGAUACAAGAUUUACUUUUGGGAAUUCCAGCGUAAGAACGAGACUGAGCGGAUGCGGACUCUGUUUAUGCCUGAAGGAGGGGUGAAGCUGAAGAACUUGACUGGUUACACCACCUAUAUGAUCAGUGUGGCUCCAUUCAACGCUGCUGGGGACGGACCCCGAAGCCCACCAACGAGGGGACGCACUCAGCAAGCAGCUCCCAGUGCUCCCAGCUUCAUUCACUUCAGUGAACUGACCACCACCUCUGUCAAUGUGUCCUGGGGCGAGCCCACCUUCCCUAAUGGCAUCAUUGAGGGCUACCGUCUGGUCUAUGAACCCUCCACACCUGUAGAUGGCGUCAGUAAGACAGUGACGGUGGAUGUGAAGGGGACCGGCCCUCUCUGGUUGAAGAUCAGAGACCUGGCAGAUGGCGUCACGUACAACUUCCGCAUCCGGGCCAAGACCUUCAUCUACGGGCCUGAGGUGGAAGCAAAUAUCACCACGGGACCAGGGGAAGGUAGUGCCCCAGGGCCCCCUGGAGAGCCAUUUAUUACGCGCUACAGUUCGGGCCUCACCAUUCACUGGACCCCUGGAGACCCAGGACGUUCUCCCAUAACACGCUAUGUAAUUGAGGCCAGACCCUCAGAUGAGGGUUUGUGGGAUAUCUUAAUCAAGGACAUCUCCAAGGAUGCAACAUCGCACACAUUCAACAUGGACAUCCUGAAACAAGGUGUCAGUUAUGACUUUCGGGUCAUUGGAGUGAACGACUAUGGCUAUGGCUCUCCGAGUCUACCUUCUCCCUCCAUAUCUGCCCAAAAAGUGGCUCCUUUCUAUGAGGAAUGGUGGUUCCUGGUCGUGGUGGCUCUAGUGGGACUCAUCUUCAUUCUGCUGCUAGUUUUCAUCCUCAUUAUCAGAGGACAGAGCAAGAAGUAUGCAAAAAAGUCUGAAUCAGCUUGUGUUUCGCUUCCAGCCUGGUGGCAUGGAGGGUCUCCUCCCAGGCCCAGCCCAGGCAGUCUUCACUACUCGGACGAGGACGUCAGCACCAAGUACAACGACCUGAUCCCUGCAGAGAGCAGCAGCCUGACUGAAAAACCCUCGGAAAUCUCAGACUCACAGGGCAGCGACAGUGAGUAUGAGGUGGACCCUAACCGUCAGAAGACCCACUCCUUCGUCAACCACUACAUAAGUGACCCUACCUACUACAACUCCUGGCGGCGCCAACAGAAAGGCAUAUCCCGGGCGCAGGCCUACAGCUACACAGAGUCAGAGUCAGGAGAGCCGGAUCACUGCGCCCCACCACCGCUUCCCCCUCUACCUCCACUAGUUUUUAAAUGA
rnacentral:lncRNA from 1 species